rnacentral:rRNA from 1 species
UUCCGGUUGAUCCCGCCGGAGGCUACUGCUAUUGGAGUUCGAUUAAGCCAUGCGAGUCUAAGGGACCUCGGUCCCUGGCAUAAUGCUCAGUAACAAGUGGAUAAUCUGCCCUCAGGUGAGGAAUAAACCCGGGAAACUGGGGCUAAUACCUCAUAGACGCAAGAAGCUGGAAUGCUCCUGUGUUCAAAGCUCCGGCGCCUGAGGAUGAGUCUGCUUCCUAUCAGGUUGUAGUCAGGGUCAAGACCUGACUAGCCAGCGACGGGUACGGGGUGUGAGAGCACUUGCCCGGAGAUGGUUUCUGAGACACGAAACCAGGCCCUACGGGGCGCAGCAGGCGCGAAAACUUCGCAAUGCGGGAAACCGUGACGAGGGAACUCCAAGUGUCUAUGCAAUGCAUAGACUGUUUUUCAGCCUAAACAGCUGUUAGAGUAAGAGGUGGGCAAGACCGGUGCCAGCCGCCGCGGUAACACCGGCACCUCGAGUGGUAGCCACUAUUAUUGGGCCUAAAGCGUUCGUAGCCGGUUUGGUAAAUUCUUGGGUAAAUCGUACAGCUUAACUGUGCGGAUUCCGGGGACACUACCAGACUUGAGACCGGGGGAGAUCAGAGGUACUUGUGGGGGAGCGGUGAAAUGUUGUAAUCCUACAGGGACCACCAGUGGCGAAGGCGUCUGAUCAUAACGGCUUUGACGGUGAGGAACGAAACCCUGGGGCGCAAACGGGAUUAGAUACCCCGGUAGUCCAGGGCGUAAACGCUGCUGACUUGGUGUUGGAGAUCCUACGAGGGUGUCCAGUGCUGGCGCGAAGGUAUUUAGUCAGCCGCCUGGGGAGUACGGUCGCAAGACUGAAACUUAAAGGAAUUGGCGGGGGAGCACUGCAACGUGUGGAGCGUGCGGUUUAAUUGGAUUCAACGCCGGA